AGCGAACGUUUGCGGCGGGCUUAACACAUGCAAGUCGAACGAGAAUCCCUUCGGGGAGGAAAGUGGCGCACGGGUGCGUAACACGUGGAUAACCAACCCAUUGGUUUGGGACAACACCGGGAAACUGGUGCUAAUACCAGAUGUGUCGCAGCUGUCUUCAGGCGGUUGCGAGAAAGGCCCGCAAGGGUCGCCAACGGACGGGUCCGCGUCCCAUCAGCUAGUUGGUGAGGUAAUGGCUCACCAAGGCAAAGAACGGGUAGGAUGGUCUGAGAGGAUGAUCAGCCACACUGGAACUGAGACACGGUCCAGACUCCUACGGGAGGGCAGCAGUGGGGGAAGUAUUGCGCAAUAGGGCGGAAA
rnacentral:rRNA from 1 species